UUAGGCAAAUAUAGUCUGAUAAGAAAACAUUUGAAGAGAAAAAGAAAAACCAUGAGAUAGUUUCCCAGCUAACCUAACUUGACUACUAAAAUCUAUUUUUAUCUAUAUUUGAAGGGAGAAAAAUCCUGAGAUUCCCUGUCAUUUAAAAUAUAAAUUACUAACUUAAAAGGUACUGUUAACUUGAAAUUACCACAGUUGCUUUGGGCAUAUCAUUCAUUGUAUUUACCUAAGGUCCCUCCCUGAUAAAAUGUUGCCAGGGCAAUGAUGCGUAUUUGAAACUUUUUGUUCUGUUUUUCAGCUCAGUACAGAAUGGAAGUGUCUUGUGUGACUGCAGGAAGUGAGAGGAAUGUUCUGGGAUUUUGAAAUUAAGAUUAAAACACCAGAUUAAGAUUGGGAGUCUUGUUUUGGGUUCUGUUCAGUAUGGGCAAAUUUCCUGGUGAGGGGAUAAAAAUCUACAGACUUUGACUGUAAUAGAGCAUUUCUGGAAAGCAAUUUGAUAAACCCAAUUAACUGCAAAUCUAAUUCAGCUGUUUGCAUACAGCAGAACAUGUUUAGUGCUAAUUUGUAUUAUGUUGCAUAACUUUAAAUUGAUUUUCAUGGCUUUUCUUCUGGCAUAAAUGACAUUUACAUUUAGUUAGUAUGAAAAGGUUUAAUUUUGAUAUAAGGAAAAUGUGCAUAAGUACACAUAGGGUGUACUGUACUGUACAUGAUUUUGGCAAUAGAAGUACAAUUAUUUUUAUUUCUUUAAUCUGUACUUCUGUUUUUUUAGUCCUUUGCUUGGCAUCUUUUAGUUUCUCAGGUUAGUUUUAUAAGUAUAUUCUUAAAUCUUUUAUUUAGUUACACAGAUGGAGGAUAUUGACACUUACUUGCUUUUCUCCAGUGCUUGGAAUGUCUACUGAUCCAUAAAACACUGGCAUUUGUAUGUAUAUCUUGUAGAAAAUAGAAGUAUAUGGCAUGCAACUAACUUGCAAAAACAUUGUGAUCAACCCAUUUUUGAAGGCCUUCUAGAAACCUUAGUAAUCUUGCUGAAGAAGAUGCCUCUUGUUUCCUGCAGCCGUGGGAUGUCCCUAUGCAUCAGCCAGCACCUCUUUCCACCUAUACACCACACAAAACAUCCAAGCAUCUUUCCUCAUUUGUCAAAAGUGCAUAUGAAGGUUCUCCUAAAGCACUCCCUGAGCCCUCAUCUCAUUCAGUCCCAGGUUACAGAGGCAUCUACAGUGCUAAAAGAGGAUUAGUGGACCGUAAGGAGUGGAUGAGAAGGAUCUGAGCAGCUUCAGGCAGGAAGGAGAAAUGUUUUUAAAAAUUAUAUAUUUUUUUUUAAAUGAACUGUUUCAGCUGAACUUAGUGUGAAACAAUGCCAAGCUGUCAGCAUGAAUGUUAUGCUAGUGCUGUUAACAUUAGCAAAAAUCCAUGCGUGGUUUGUUUCUUUUGCACAAAUGGGAAGAAGCCCAAGUGUGGAUUAGAACUUGAUUAAAACUUUCAAGCUGUUUGAAUACAAUUUUCUACAGAAAUUGAAUUUCAGUAAUAAAUCACAAUUUCAGAAACCUUAAUUCCUUGAAAUUGUCACUGUAAGUAUGCAAUCCUUCUCAUGAGAGUAGGAUUGCCCUCAUUCAUAGCAAAUUUGCAGGUGCCUCUGGGAAGGACAUUCUUCUGCAAGCUUUCCCUAAGGUGCUUGCCGGGAAUAUGGCACUCUAAAAGAUCUGUACAGCUACAGCCUCCAUCUUCAAGAGGCAAAAAGUACAUGAUAAAAAGAUACUUCACAUGUUAGAAUAUAGAAGAAAUUAUGAGUCUUUAAAGACUUGCACUAAGGAGAGUUGUUGUCUUAACCUGCUGAGCUUUUGGUAAAAAGUUGAAGAUGUAAAUGUGGAUCUGAUGCUGCAAAAACUUACGCAGGUGCUUAAAACUAAGCAUUGGAGCACCACUUCAAUACAUUUAUUAAAGUUUGCGGUGUUGAGCCCUGUGUUGAAUGUGCUUCAAUCUCUUUUACUUUUAUCCUCUGAUGCAACAAAUCUUUCUAAAUAAGUAAAUAGAACUAAUAACCACUGGGCCUUUCAAAGGCAUUUGUCAGUAUGAGCUUUAAAAUUGAUUUUUCUUUUGAUUUCUUAGCUGUUUUAGCUAUAGCAACAUCCCUCCCAAAAUCAAUCAACAAAACUGUGCACCUGAAGGUAUAUUUUUCAUCUUAAAGUCAUUUUCACUCCAACUCUUUUUUGCCAUAUACACAAUAUCAUGUAUGGGCUAGGAAUGGAAAAAUCACUCUGAGGAUAUUCUAAUUCUUGUAAUUAAGCAAAUAAAAAUUGAUGUUGAAGUAAGUUGUUUUCUUAGUAAGCAGUGCUCUCUGUGGCUCUUUAAGAGCUGACAGUGAUUUUAUAUCUAAUACAAAAUAGAGAUACUCUUAAACAUUAUAAUGUAUAGAGCAUUGUAAUACAAAACGUUUUUAAUGCUUUGUAAUGCUUUUAAAUUGACAAAAAAAAAAAAAAGGGAUAGAAGACUAGGCCUCACUUCCUCUGUUCAAAUAGCUUCCAUUUCUACACCUGUUUUCUAUACGGAUUAUUUUCUCCAGAAUUUAAUCUCACCAUUUGUUGAUUCUCUGUCAUUUCACCAUCUCUGGCUGUGAGCAUCCAGGGCCUCCAUAAAACAGGGCUGCUGAAAGAUUAAGAUAGAAAAGCACUCCCACAGUUAAUUCUCUGUCGUAAUAUCCAUACAGUAUCCUUACAAUACAAAUGCUUUUGUUAGAUUCUGCUGGCAUCUUUUGUAUUAACUUUUUUUCCACCACAUAUUGGUCAUAGAGUCAUAUAAUAUCUGAGUUGGAAGGGACAUAUUUUGAUUUGGUAAAUCUGAUUUCUAUGGCAAUAUUAAUCUGUCCUCUGUCUAUGAUCUGAUUAAACAAGUUAGACAAUCACUUGCACAUUUUUAACUAAGGUAUCAUUUCCUAUUAAGAUUUCACAGCUCAAAAGGACUGCACUGCACUCCAAAUUAUGAUGUAAUUAAUACUGAAAUCUUUUUUGUUUAUGCAGAACUGCUACAAAAUAAAAAAGUAACUCUCCUUCUCUGAUGCUAUAUCUAAUUAAAGGUUACAUAUGGUCA